GAUUCCUUGGUCUAGUUGGUUAUGACAUUCGCCUAACACGCGAAAGGUGCCGAGUUCGAUCCUCGGAGGAAUCA